AGAAUUCCGCGAAUCAUCGAGUUUUUGAACGCAAGUUGCGCCCGAGGCUUGUGCCGAGGGCAUGCCUGCCUGAGCGUC
rnacentral:rRNA from 1 species